AGGCUCUUUUUCAUCUUUUCUAGGGUUUGCUCUUUCAUUCUUCUUCCAUUUUUCAUCUAGUUUCACCAUGUCCAUGGUGAACUAAACCCUAUUGUUGUUGGGGAAUACAAUGUAAUCUUUUGAUACUCUCUCUUAUUGAAACUAUUGAUUAUUUAUAUGGUCUCCAUAUGUUUUGAUUGAUUAUUGUUGGGUUAUCAUCU
rnacentral:lncRNA from 1 species